CACUGUGACCCCACGGGUGACACUGUGACCCCGAGGGUGACCCCAUGUCACUAUAGGUGACCCUGUGACCCCCAGGUGACCCCGUGACCCCGCGGGUGACCCCCAGGUGACACUGUGACCCCCAGAACCCCCCCAGGCCCGGGGGGUGACACCGCGCCGGGGGUUGGGGACGCUCCUGUCCCCGCCGUGGGGGAUGGGCUGGCACCAUCCGCUGUCCCCGUGUCCCCCGCGCUGCCACCGAGUUUUUAAUUAAUGAACGGAUUCAUUAAGGAAUUAAUUAAUUAAUGGGGGGGGGGAGGG